rnacentral:rRNA from 1 species
UAGGGAAUCUUCGGCAAUGGACGAAAGUCUGACCGAGCAACGCCGCGUGAGUGAAGAAGGUUUUCGGAUCGUAAAACUCUGUUGGUAGAGAAGAACGUUGGUGAGAGUGGAAAGCUCAUCAAGUGACGGUAAUCAACCAGAAAGUCACGGCUAACUACGUGCCAG